rnacentral:rRNA from 1 species
CUACGGGAGGCACCAGUGAGGAAUAUUGCACAAUGGGGGGAACCCUGAUGCAGCAACGCCGCGUGGAGGAUGACGCAUUUCGGUGUGUAAGCUCCUUUUAUAUGUCAAGAAAAUGACGGUAGCAUAUGAAUAAGCACCGGCUAACUCCGUGCCAGCAGCCGCGGUAAUACGGAGGGUGCAAGCGUUACUCGGAAUCACUGGGCGUAAAGGACGCGUAGGCGGGCUUGUAAGUCAGGUGUGAAAUCCUACAGCUUAACUGUAGAACUGCACUUGAAACUCCGAGCCUAGAGUAUGGGAGGGGCAGAUGGAAUUAGUGGUGUAGGGGUAAAAUCCGUAGAUAUCACUAGGAAUACCUAAAGCGAAGGCGAUCUGCUGGAACAUAACUGACGCUAAGGCGUGAAAGCGUGGGGAGCAAACAGGAUUAGAUACCCCAGUAGUC